AUGGGGGCAAUGGCUCAGGGCACUCUGCUCCUGCUGCUGGUGGCUGCCCUGGCCCCAACUCAGACCUGCGCAGGCUCACACUCCCUGCGGUAUUUCCACACCGCCGUGUCACGGCCCGGCCUCGGGAAACCCCGGUUCAUCUCUGUCGGCUACGUGGACGACACGGAGUUCGUGCGCUUUGACAGCGAUGAGGAGAAUCCGAGAUAUGAACCGCGCGCGCCGUGGAUGGAACAGGUGGGGCCGGAGUAUUGGGAGGAGCAGACACAGAUCGCGAAGAGUAAUGAGCAGAUUUACCAAGUGAACCUGAGGACCCUGCUCCGCUACUACAACCAGAGCGAGGACGGUUCUCAUACGCUCCAGAGGAUGACUGGCUGUGACAUGGGGUCCGACGGGAGCCUCCUCCGCGGGUACACGCAGUUCGCCUACGAUGGCCAUGAUUAUAUCGCCCUGAAUGAAGACCUGGAAACCUGGACAGCGGCGGACAUGGCGGCGCAGAUCACCCGACGCAAGUGGGAGCAGGCUGGUGAUGCAGAGAGACACAGGGCCUACCUGGAGGGCACGUGCGUGGUGUGGCUCCACAGAUACCUGGAGCUCGGGAAGGAGACGCUGCUGCGCACAGAUCCCCCAAAGGCACAUGUGACCCAUCACCCCAGUUCCGAAGGUGAUGUCACCCUGAGGUGCUGGGCCAUGGGCUUCUACCCUGCUGACAUCACUCUGACCUGGCAGUUGAAUGGGGAGGACCUGACCCAGGACAUGGAGCUUGUGGAGACCAGGCCUGCAGGGGAUGGAACCUUCCAGAAGUGGGCAUCUGUGGUGGUGCCUCUUGGGAAGGAGCAGAAUUACACUUGCCAUGUGCAACAUGAGGGGCUGCCUGAGCCUCUCACCCUGAAAUGGGAGCCUCCUCCACCACAGACUCCAACAUGGGGAUCACUGUUGUCCUGGUUGUCCUUGGAACUAUGGCCAUCAUUGGAGCUGUGGUGGCUUUUGUGAUAAAAAGGAGGAGAAACAGAGCCUGAAGACAGCAGCCUGGAGUGGACUGAGUGACAGACUGUGUUCAGGUCUCUCCUGUGACAUCCAGAGCCCUCAGUUUUCUUUAGACAACAGUGUCUGAUGUUCCCUGUGAGCUUAUGGGCUCAAUG